UCGCUCGAUAAGGUCAGUUGAGGAAUAGCUCUGUCCUCCGAAGGCAGAGGUCAGAGGUUCGAAUCCUCUCGGGUGCA
rnacentral:tRNA from 1 species